rnacentral:rRNA from 1 species
CAAGAGCGUAUGUAAAAGUUGUUGCAGUUAAAAAGCUCGUAGUUGAACCUUGGGUUUGGUUGGCCGGUCCGCUUUUUUGCGAGUACUGGAUUCAACCGAGCCCUUCCUUCUGGCUAACCAGUCGUUUCGGCGGCUGGCGAACCAGGAUUUUUACUUUGAGAAAAUUAGAGUGUUCAAAGCAGGCAUUAGCUUGAAUAUAUUAGCAUGGAAUAAUAGAAUAGGACGUUAUGGUUCUAUUUUGUUGGUUUCUAGGACCAUCGUAAUGAUUAAUAGGGACGGUCGGGGGCAUCAGUAUUCAGUUGUCAGAGGUGAAAUUCUUGGAUUUACUGAAGACUAACUACUGCGAAAGCAUUUGCCAAGGACGUUUUCAUUAA